rnacentral:rRNA from 1 species
AUACGUAUGGGGUAAGCGUUAUCCGGAUUCAUUGGGCGUAAAGCGCGUGUAGGCGGCUUGUUAAGUCAGAUGUGAAAACCGGGGGCUUAACCCGCGGCGUGCAUCUGAAACUGGCAGGCUUGAGUCUGGUAGAGGAAAGUGGAAUUCCUAGUGUAGCGGUGAAAUGCGCAGAUAUUAGGAGGAACACCAGUGGCGAGGGCGGCUUUCUGGGCCACGACUGACGCUGAGACGCGAAAGCUAGGGGAGCAAACAGGAUUAGAUACCCCAGUAGUCC